GUGUAUGUCAGUGGUGAGAACUGUGUAAGCACCCAGCAAUGCGUCAGUCACGGAAUAACUAAAUGUGGAGGUGGCGCUCACGUGGUAUGUCAUGAUCACGAAUGUGAAUGUCUAACACCCUCUAAAGGAAAUGCCUGCACUGGUGUCAGUGAAUGUCACUGUGACCAUGGACAUCCACAUUGUAUUGAUGGCCAUUGUAGAUGUACAAGAUUCUAGACAGAAUUGCAAAAUUCUGUAUGAAAAAAAAGACAAAUGUACAAUAUUGAAUAAAUUACUGUAAAUUG